CCUACGGGAGGCUGCAGUGAGGAAUAUUGGUCAAUGGACGAAAGUCUGAACCAGCCAAGUAGCGUGAAGGAUGACUGCCCUAUGGGUUGUAAACUUCUUUUAUAAAGGAAUAAAACGAGGCACGUGUGCCGUUUUGCAUGUACUUUAUGAAUAAGGAUCGGCUAACUCCGUGCCAGCAGCCGCGGUAAUACGGAGGAUCCGAGCGUUAUCCGGAUUUAUUGGGUUUAAAGGGAGCGUAGAUGGGGUGUUAAGUCAGUUGUGAAAGUUUGCGGCUCAACCGUAAAAUUGCAAUUGAUACUGGCAGUCUUGAGUACAGUUGAGGUAGGCGGAAUGCGUGGUGUAGCGGUGAAAUGCUUAGAGAUCACGAAGAACCCCGAUUGCGAAGGCAGCUUACUAAGCUGUGACUGACAUUGAUGCUCGAAAGUGUGGGUAUCAAACAGGAUUAGAUACCCGGGUAGUC
rnacentral:rRNA from 1 species